rnacentral:rRNA from 1 species
UACGUAGGGGGCAAGCGUUGUCCGGAUUUAUUGGGCGUAAAGAGCUCGUAGGCGGUUCGGCAAGUCGGGUGUGAAACCUCCAGGCUCAACCUGGAGACGCCACCCGAUACUGCUGUGACUAGAGUCCGGUAGGGGAGCGUGGAAUUCCUGGUGUAGCGGUGAAAUGCGCAGAUAUCAGGAGGAACACCAGCGGCGAAAGGCGGCGCUCUGGGCCGGAACUGACGCUGAGGAGCGAAAGCGUGGGUAGCAAACAGG